GGAAAGGCCCUUCGGGGUACUCGAGUGGCGAACGGGUGAGUAACACGUGGGUGAUCUGCCCUGCACUUUGGGAUAAGCCUGGGAAACUGGGUCUAAUACCGAAUAGGACCGCAUGCUUCAUGGUGUGUGGUGGAAAGCUUUUGCGGUGUGGGAUGGGCCCGCGGCCUAUCAGCUUGUUGGUGAGGUAAUGGCUUACCAAGGCGACGACGGGUAGCCGGCCUGAGAGGGUGACCGGCCACACUGGGACUGAGAUACGGCCCAGACUCCUACGGGAGGCAGCAGUGGGGAAUAUUGCACAAUGGGCGCAAGCCUGAUGCAGCGACGCCGCGUGAGGGAUGACGGCCUUCGGGUUGUAAACCUCUUUCGCCAGGGACGAAGCGCAAGUGACGGUACCUGGAGAAGAAGGACCGGCCAACUACGUGCCAGCAGCCGCGGUAAUACGUAGGGUCCGAGCGUUGUCCGGAAUUACUGGGCGUAAAGAGCUCGUAGGUGGUUUGUCGCGUUGUUCGUGAAAACUCACAGCUUAACUGUGGGCGUGCGGGCGAUACGGGCAGACUUGAGUACUGCAGGGGAGACUGGAAUUCCUGGUGUAGCGGUGGAAUGCGCAGAUAUCAGGAGGAACACCGGUGGCGAAGGCGGGUCUCUGGGCAGUAACUGACGCUGAGGAGCGAAAGCGUGGGGAGCGAACAGGAUUAGAUACCCUGGUAGUCCACGCCGUAAACGGUGGGUACUAGGUGUGGGUUUCCUUCCUUGGGAUCCGUGCCGUAGCUAACGCAUUAAGUACCCCGCCUGGGGAGUACGGCCGCAAGGCUAAAACUCAAAGAAAUUGACGGGGGCCCGCACAAGCGGCGGAGCAUGUGGAUUAAUUCGAUGCAACGCGAAGAACCUUACCUGGGUUUGACAUGCACAGGACGCCGGCAGAGAUGUCGGUUCCCUUGUGGCCUGUGUGCAGGUGGUGCAUGGCUGUCGUCAGCUCGUGUCGUGAGAUGUUGGGUUAAGUCCCGCAACGAGCGCAACCCUUGUCUCAUGUUGCCAGCACGUUAUGGUGGGGACUCGUGAGAGACUGCCGGGGUCAACUCGGAGGAAGGUGGGGAUGACGUCAAGUCAUCAUGCCCCUUAUGUCCAGGGCUUCACACAUGCUACAAUGGCCGGUACAAAGGGCUGCGAUGCCGUGAGGUGGAGCGAAUCCUUUCAAAGCCGGUCUCAGUUCGGAUCGGGGUCUGCAACUCGACCCCGUGAAGUCGGAGUCGCUAGUAAUCGCAGAUCAGCAACGCUGCGGUGAAUACGUUCCCGGGCCUUGUACACACCGCCCGUCACGUCAUGAAAGUCGGUAACACCCGAAGCCGGUGGCCUAACCCCUUGUGGGAGGGAGC
rnacentral:rRNA from 1 species